rnacentral:misc_RNA from 1 species
AACCUUAUGGACCUGCGGGCGUAUACCUGCGGAGGGAUCAUUACUGAGUAUUUGUCUUUUCAAGACAUCUCUCUAUCCAUAAACUCUUUUUUUUAAAAAGACAUGAUUUAUAACAAUUAGUCUGAAUGAUUAUUUUUAAAUCUUCAAAACUUUCAACAACGGAUCU